rnacentral:rRNA from 1 species
AGAGGGGUGCAAGCGUUAAUCGGAAUUACUGGGCGUAAAGGGCACGUAGGUGGAAAGAAAGUUAGAUGUGAAAGUCCUGGGGCUUAACCUAGGAAGGUCAUCUAAAACUAUCUAUCUAGAGUACAGUAGAGGGAAGUGGAAUUUCCGGUGUAGCGGUGAAAUGCGUAGAUAUCGGAAGGAACACCAGUGGCGAAGGCGACUUUCUGGACUGAUACUGACACUGAGGUGCGAAAGCGUGGGUAGCGAACAGGAUUAGAUACCCUGGUAGUCCACGCUGUAAACGAUGAGAACUAGCCGUUGGUCGGAUAUAAUCUGAUGAGUGGCGCAGCAAACGCAUUAAGUUCUCCGCCUGGGGAGUACGACCGCAAGGUU